rnacentral:rRNA from 1 species
CCGCCGCGCGCGGCGGGCUACGGGAGGCAGCAGUGGGGAAUAUUGCACAAUGGGCGCAAGCCUGAUGCAGCCAUGCCGCGUGUAUGAAGAAGGCCUUCGGGUUGUAAAGUACUUUCAGCGGGGAGGAAGGCGUUGUGGUUAAUAACCACAGCGAUUGACGUUACCCGCAGAAGAAGCACCGGCUAACUCCGUGCCAGCAGCCGCGGUAAUA